rnacentral:rRNA from 1 species
UACGUAGGGGGCAAGCGUUGUCCGGAAUUAUUGGGCGUAAAGAGCUCGUAGGCGGCUUGUCACGUCGGAUGUGAAAGCCCGGGGCUUAACCCCGGGUCUGCAUUCGAUACGGGCUAGCUAGAGUGUGGUAGGGGAGAUCGGAAUUCCUGGUGUAGCGGUGAAAUGCGCAGAUAUCAGGAGGAACACCGGUGGCGAAGGCGGAUCUCUGGGCCAUUACUGACGCUGAGGAGCGAAAGCGUGGGGAGCAAACAGG